AGAGUUUGAUCAUGGCUCAAAUUGAACGCUGGCGGCAGGCCUAACACAUGCAAGUCGAGCGGCAGCGGAAAGUAGCUUGCUACCUUGCCGGCGAGCGGCGGACGGGUGAGUAAUGUCUGGGGAUCUGCCUGAUGGAGGGGGAUAACUACUGGAAACGGUAGCUAAUACCGCAUGACCUCGAAAGAGCAAAGUGGGGGACCUCCGGGCCUCACGCCAUCGGAUGAACCCAGAUGGGAUUAGCUAGUAGGUGGGGUAACGGCUCACCCAGGCGACGAUCCCUAGCUGGUCUGAGAGGAUGACCAGCCACACUGGAACUGAGACACGGUCCAGACUCCUACGGGAGGCAGCAGUGGGGAAUAUUGCACAAUGGGCGCAAGCCUGAUGCAGCCAUGCCGCGUGUGUGAAGAAGGCCUUCGGGUUGUAAAGCACUUUCAGCGAGGAGGAAUUCAUUGUGGUUAAUAACCGCAGUGAUUGACGUUACUCGCAGAAGAAGCACCGGCUAACUCCGUGCCAGCAGCCGCGGUAAUACGGAGGGUGCAAGCGUUAAUCGGAAUUACUGGGCGUAAAGCGCACGCAGGCGGUUUGUUAAGUCAGAUGUGAAAUCCCCGCGCUUAACGUGGGAACUGCAUUUGAAACUGGCAAGCUAGAGUCUUGUAAAGGGGGGUAGAAUUCCAGGUGUAGCGGUGAAAUGCGUAA
rnacentral:rRNA from 1 species